AGCCUCCAUCACAAUAAUCUUUUUGUAUUACAUCUUUUUUCACUCUAUGAACUGGUGAGUUCCAAAUAAACUUAUACAUCAGUUCAUUUAUCUGUUUAAUAAUAUCUUCACUUGGAUUAGGUAGUGACAAUAUUAAAUGAUUUAAAAUUGGCAACAUAAGUGUCUUUACAACAGUAAUUCGACCAAUAACAGUAAUGUUACGUCUAGACAUUGUUUGACUAGUCUUUUUAUUUUUACAAUAUUUUCAUCAUAAUUGAUUUUAACUAGUUUUUCUAAAUCAACAUCAAAAUUAACACCCAAUAAUUUAAAGGAUGUGCUUCCCCAAGUAAGAUUUUGAUUUGUACAAAGUGUCUCUGUGCUGUACUUUUUACUUCCAAUCCAAAUGACAUGAGUUUUGGAAAAAUUUAUAUUCAAACCAGAAAUUUUAGCAAACCAAUCUAGUUCCAAUAAUGACUCAUUUAAAGAUUCUUCACUACCAUCUAAAAGUAGUGAUGUAUCAUCAGCAAACUGCGAGAGUUUGUGUUCAACAUCAAGAACUUUGAUUCCAUUUAUAUUUUUGUUAUCUCUUAUUUUUAACGCUAAAAUUUCAGCACAAAGAAUGAAAAGAUAAGGCGAUAAUGGAUCACCUUGCCUACAACCCCGUUCAACAGUGAAAAAGUCUGAAAGAUUCCCUCCCUGAAUGACUGCUGAAUUAAUGUUUUGAUAGAGCACUUUCACCCAAUUUAUAAUAGAAUCGCCAAAAUUAAAAAAUUUCAAUACAUUUAAAAGAAAUUCCCAUGAAAUGGAAUCAAAGGCUUUUUCAAAAUCUAUCAGCAAUAAAAGGCCUGGUAUAUCAUUAUCUUCAGUAUAUUCCAUGAUAUCAUAGAUCAAUCUUAGAUUUUCCCCAAUAUAUCUUCCACUCAUAAAACCUGUCUGAUCAGUAUCAAUAAGUUUAGUCAAAACUGUUCUAAAUCUUCCUGCUAUAACCCCAGAGCCAAUUUUAUAUACAGUAUUAAGCAAAGAUAUAGGGCGCCAGUUUUUUAAAAAAUGUCUAGGUUUGUUACCCUUUGGAAGACAUGUAAUUAUCCCCUGUUUUUGAGUAACAGAAAGUUCCCCUUUAUCAUACCCUGCAUUCAAGGAUCUUACAACAAAAUGUUUUAAGUCAGGCCAGAAAAAUUUAAAAAAUUCACUUGAAAAACCAUCUGAUCCAGGCGUUUUA
rnacentral:lncRNA from 1 species